GAUUCUCUCGAGUCCGCGACAAGUGCAUACACAACCAAUAAAGCCGACACGACCCCUCAAAAUGUUAUCUGUCAUCCUGAUGUCUCCAUCUCUGUGGAGCGUGGUACUGUGAAAACACCCGUGUUCUUCGCCGAGCCUUCUGCUGAUGAUAUAUCAGGCAACUUUACACUGUACUAUAGAUCUCACGCCCCAGGUGACGAAUUCCCGUUAGGAUCAACUUCAAUCUUGUAUACGUUUGCUGACGGGAGUGGAAAUCUUGAAUUCUGCGGCUUCGUGAUUUAUAUCGAAGCCUAUGACUUCCAUUACCCCUUGGGCCUGCAGAGUGGAAUAAUUCCAGAUUCAAGUUUGACGGCUUCAAGUUCAUGGAGGAGCAGUUCUUAUGACUGUUCAGCGCAAAGGGUGCGUUUAUUCACUGUCAUUGAAAUCAAAAAUGACACAACAAUUUGUGGAGGUUGGGUGG